rnacentral:rRNA from 1 species
UAGUCCACGCCGUAAACGAUGAUCACUCGUCAUUAGCGAUAUACAGUUAGUGACCUAGCGAAAGCAUUAAGUGAUCCACCUGGGGAGUACGUUCGCAAGAAUGAAACUCAAAGGAAUUGACGGGGGCCCGCACAAGCGGUGGAGCAUGUGGUUUAAUUCGAUGAUACGCGAGGAACCUUACCUGGGCUCAAACGCAUGAUGACAGGCUGGGAAACCAGUUUUUCUUCGGACAUUAUGCGAGGUGCUGCAUGGUUGUCGUCAGCUCGUGCCGUGAGGUGUCGGGUUAAGUCCCAUAACGAGCGCAACCCCUAUUUCUAGUUGCCAGCGAGUAAUGUCGAGGACUCUAGAGAAACUGCCUACGCAAGUAGUGAGGAAGGUGGGGGAUGAUGUCAAAUCAUCACGGCCCUUACGUCCAGGGGCUACACACGUGCUACAAU